UUCCUUCCUUUGUAUUAUAAUUUUUUUUCACAGCACGGCCAUGCGGCUUUCAUGGCUCCCUGUUGGGAUUCUCGACAACGGUAGCUUAUUCAGUGGACGGCAGAGCUGGGAUAGUUGCAUGGAAAAGUGGGCAGAUGUUUUAAACUCACUUUUAUAGGAACAAGAUUUUUCAGCAAAUGCGUGGUUUUUCUCGUAAGCUCCCCCCCCGAAAUCAACGAGGGCCGCAUGAAUCCAGAACUGUGGAACGCCACUAAUUCCCUUCUUCUGCUUCUCUCUAAUACAGAUGGAGAGCCACAGCUGGCCUCCACAGUCAUUGACACUAUCCUGGCCGGCUUGCCGGGACCUCGCGGCGCACCAGGACCCAUUGGACAACCGGGCCCACCUGGAUCAUCAGGCCCCAAAGGGGCCCCGGGAUCUGUUGGCACUCCUGGCUUACAGGGCAUCCCUGGCUCCCCAGGACAGCCUGGACCGAAAGGAUCCAAAGGAGACCGAGGAGAAAAGGGUGAACCUGGCAAGAAAGGCGAAGAAGGAGACAAAGGUGCAGAUGUAAGAAUCCAAGCAAUUCUUCUUUAUAGUUACGGCCAUUCUGUUCCCACACAAUCUCUCCCUCCCUUAAUGGAUACAAUAGGAGGGAGGGGCCCAGGCACACACCUCCAAUGAAAAUCCAUUUCAUAGGAGGGGGCCACCACGAAGAAGGUCUCUCCUCUCUCAGUGGGGCCACCCUCAGCCACGAGGCCCUGGGAGGACCAGGUGAAACGGGUGGAGCUGUUCUUUGUGAGAGAUGCUACUACAGUAGUACCUUGACUUACGAACUUAAUCUGUAUUGGAAUGGCGUUCAUAUGUCGAAAAGCCUCCAAUGAAAAUCCAUUUCAUAGGAGGGGGCCACCACGAAGAAGGUCUCUCCUCUCUCAGUGGGGCCACCCUCAGCCACGAGGCCCUGGGAGGACCAGGUGAAACGGGUGGAGCUGUUCUUUGUGAGAGAUGCUACUACAGUAGUACCUUGACUUACGAACUUAAUCUGUAUUGGAAUGGCGUUCAUAUGUCGAAAAGGUGGUCCUGUUCGUAUGUCGAAAAGUUUGUAAGUCGAGGAAAACCUUUCCAUAGGAAUGCCUUGGAAACCAUUUAAUCCG
rnacentral:lncRNA from 1 species